CACGUCGCUCGCUCCUUGACGGCUGACCGACACUGGGUCUGAUGUGUAAGCGCUUUCCAGGCCCUUCCCUGGGGCUUGGAGGGGAAUGGCGCAAAGGACUUUUCUUACAAGCAGAGAGGUUGGACUCCUGAAAGCCUGGACAGUGUCAUCAUCUUCACCUGAAGAGUGGAAAAAUUCAAGCAAAGAGUUUCUCAGGAAAUGACCAAGUAAAACAUCUGGAGUAAGUCAGCAGGAUUCAAAGUGACUCCCCCCAACCACCUGGUGGUGUUUCUCUCUGAAAGCAGCGCUUGGUACCAGUGUGAACUCUCUUCCUUCAGAAGUCUCAUCAGGUGUUUCAGAUGAGUUCUCCGGAAUUUGGACCUCCUACUCUUGGGUUGAAGGUGGACGUAAUACGAGGGUCUGGUCCCCCAUACCUUGAGGACUCCGCUGCCCUCUGACAAUUACAGACAAUCCAAUUGUCCUCAUCCUUGAGGACUCUGCUGCCAUCUGACAAUUAGAGACAGUCCAAAACAUGCCACACUUUGAUCCUAAACACAUUCCUGGCUUUGGUCACUUUUGAAAAGUUCCUGAGUUAUGAGAAAUCAAUAAUAAGAGUGUUCAAAACCUGAACACUCUUUUUAGAAAUACCUGCUGGAACUACAUAUAUGAUUUAUGG
rnacentral:antisense_RNA from 1 species